AUUAACGCUAGCGGCAGGCAUAAUACAUGCAAGUUGAACGGCAGCACAGGUAGCAAUAUUGGGUGGCGAGUGGCGCACGGGUGCGUAACACGUAUGCAACCUACCCUAUACAGGCGAAUAACCUUUAGAAAUGAGGGCUAAUACGCCGUAGUAUUACAGAUGGGCGUCUAUUUGUAAUUAAAGAUUUAUCGGUAUAGGAUGGGCAUGCGUCCCAUUAGUUAGUUGGUAAGGUAACGGCUUAC
rnacentral:rRNA from 1 species